UACGUAGGGUGCGAGCGUUAAUCGGAAUUACUGGGCGUAAAGCGUGCGCAGGCGGUUUUGUAAGCCAGGUGUGAAAUCCCCGGGCUCAACCUGGGAAUGGCAUUUGGGACUGCAAGGCUGGAGUACGGCAGAGGAGACUGGAAUUCCUGGUGUAGCAGUGAAAUGCGUAGAUAUCAGGAGGAAUACCGAUGGCGAAGGCAGGUCUCUGGGCUGACACUGACGCUCAUGCACGAAAGCGUGGGGAGCAAACAGG
rnacentral:rRNA from 1 species